rnacentral:rRNA from 1 species
UACGGAGGUGGCGAGCGUUACUCGGUUUGACUGGGUGUAAAGGGUCCGCAGGCGGUUACAUAAGUGAAAGGUGAAAUCUUUCGGCUUAACCGAAAAACUGCCUUUUAAACUAUGUAACUUGAGGAUGGAAGAGGAGAGUGGAACUGUCGGUGGAAAGGUGAAAUUUGUGGAUAUCGACAGGAACGCCCGUGGAGAAGUCGGCUCUCUGGUCCAUACCUGACGCUCAGGGACGAAAGCUAGGGGAGCAAACAGGAUUAGAUACCCGCGUA